AUACAGUACCAUUAUAUAUAUAAUUAGGUUAAAUACAUAAAUACAACUUUACAUCUAAGUAGAGAUCUUUGAUUCUACUUUACUACAAAGUGCUUCAACCUAACUUCAUCACUACUAUCUCGAGAGAAGCAAUCGGCUUAGAACGAUAUCAUUGGUUCUUUUCUUCUCUUUCCUUCUCGGGAGCUUCCUUUCAGAGUCGACGUGCUUCCUUAUUCACGAGGUUUCUAUGGGGAACCUUGAAAUUCAAUGAAGCCCAAAGCUCUAGCUAGUUUUAAGAACAAGAAACAUGAGUAUAUAGCUAAAAGCCCAACUCCAAAGAACUUAUCAAGCCUCAUAUCUCUCUUGGGCAAGAUUACCAAGGCCCAAAGUAAGCCCAAUAGUAAAAACCCAAUGGUCUCAUAAAUAGUUGAAUCUAUUGGCACAAUAUAACUUGAAGGAAAUGCUUUCCAAGUUGUGAAAAUGAGUGAUGAGCCCAAGCCCACUAAGGUGUUGAAUAUAGGCCCAGCAUAGCAUCCACAUAAAGCCACUUGGGCUCCUAUAGGCCCACCUGUUUUUGCAAGUGUUACAUUAGCUACCAAGUCUCCUAAUGAGUUACCCCAAGCAAGGACAGUUAGGCCCAAAAUUGAUGGGCUUAUCCCAAAGAUUAGGCCCAUUGAGACCAACAAAGAAAUAAGUUCUUCAGCCAAAAUGUAAGUCCAUGUAAUGCUCAUCAAAAAACCAAGCCCAAGCCAUAAAAAGUUGAACUUCUUUGGUGGAUGAAGCCCAUCACUAGUGAAAAACACAAGAACCCCACAACAAAGCCCAAUAACACCACUAAUUCCACAGGCCCAAAUACUUGAUUUAGGCCCAAAAAAAUCCCAAAUGAGAACCAAUAACAAAGGAGCUAAAGUGAUUGACACAAUCCCAAAUGAUUUUGACCAUUUCUCUUGUGAAACAUUUGGAAUUGUCAACUUCCUUGGCAAAUCAAGUGGUAAUUCAAGAACAUACCCAACUUUUCUCAACACACAAACUCUUUUUCCACUUGAAACCUCAUCCACCAACAAAGGCACCUUCAAUUCACAUGCCAAUUCUUGACCUUUUUUCAUAUCACAAACCAUUGGCAAAUCAAAUGAAUCAUCAUCAUUUGUCCCAAUCUCUUCUUGUUUAACAUACAUUUCUGAGGCAAAUAUGAAGCAAACAUAGACCAAAUACAACAAAAAGAAACCUAAACCACCCCACAAGUGAAUCUUCCCAAUAAUGAUCACAACAAGGAGACACACAACACAAAGAGUCAAGAACAUGACAUUCCCUAUAAAACUUGACUUCUUGAUCUUCCUUUCAUGUUGACUAAUUGAUAUACUUGUAACUCCAGCCACAACACUUGAAACAAAGAAAGCACCACCAAUUAUACUAUUGAGUCCAAUAUCAUUUGUAUCA
rnacentral:misc_RNA from 1 species